rnacentral:rRNA from 1 species
GUGGGGAAUAUUGGACAAUGGGGGGAACCCUGAUCCAGCCAUGCCGCGUGUGUGAAGAAGGCCUUUUGGUUGUAAAGCACUUUAAGUGAGGAGGAGGCUACCGAGAUUAAUACUCUUGGAUAGUGGACGUUACUCGCAGAAUAAGCACCGGCUAACUCUGUGCCAGCAGCCGCGGUAAUACAGAGGGUGCAAGCGUUAAUCGGAUUUACUGGGCGUAAAGCGCGCGUAGGUGGCCAAUUAAGUCAAAUGUGAAAUCCCCGAGCUUAACUUGGGAAUUGCAUUCGAUACUGGUUGGCUAGAGUAUGGGAGAGGAUGGUAGAAUUCCAGGUGUAGCGGUGAAAUGCGUAGAGAUCUGGAGGAAUACCGAUGGCGAAGGCAGCCAUCUGGCCUAAUACUGACACUGAGGUGCGAAAGCAUGGGGAGCAAACAGGAUUAGAAACCCGGGUAGUCC